rnacentral:sRNA from 1 species
UGAAGUCAUUCUAAGGUGUUUUUGGUUA